rnacentral:rRNA from 1 species
GGUUUGAUCCUGGCUCAGUUGAACGCUGGCAGGAUCUUUACACAUGCAAGUCGAACGGCAGCACAGACUGUGGUCUGGUGGCGAGUGGCGAACGGGUGAGUAAUGUAUCGGAACGUGCCUAGUAGCGGGGGAUAACUACGCGAAAGCGUAGCUAAUACCGCAUACGCCCUUCGGGGAAAGCGGGGGACCUUCAGGGCUCGCACUAUUAGAGCGGCCGAUAUCGGAUUAGCUAGUUGGUGGGGUAACGGCUCACCAAGGCGACGAUCAUCAGCUGGUUUGAGAGGACGAUAAGCCACACUGGGACUGAGACGUGGCCCAGACUCCUACGGGAGGCAGCAGUGGGGAAUUUACCGGACGUGGAAAGCCUGAUCCAGCCAUCCCGCGUGUGCGAUGAGCCUUGGGUUGUAAAGCACUUUUGGCAGAAAAAACGGCUGGGGGAUAAUACGGCACAGCUGACGGUACCUGCAGAAUGACAUCGAUAACUGGUACCCGGCGUACGGUAAUACGUAGAUUGCAAGCGUUAAUCGGAAUUACUGGGCGUGGCGACAUGAGCGGUUCAAGGAAAAGAAAGAUGUGAAAUCCCAGGGCUUAACUUUGGAACUGCAUUUUAACUACCGAGCUAGAGUGUGUCAGAGGGAGGUGGAAUUCCCGCGUGUAGCAGUGAAAUGUGUAGAUAUGCGGAGAGACACCAUUGGCGAACCCGUUUCUGGGAUCUUACUGGCUACUCAUGCACGAAAGCGUGGGGAGCAAACCUAGUUAAGAUACCUGGUAGUCCACGCCCUAAACGAUGUCAACUAAGCUGUUGGGGCCUUCGGGCCUUGGUGGCUGGCCGCACGUGAAGUUGACCUGCGGUACGCGUUCGCCGUUCCGGCUCAAGGAAUUGACGGGGACCGCACCGGCGGUGGAUGAUGUGGAUUAAUUCGAUGCAACGCGAAAACCUUACCUACCCUUGACAUGUCUGGAAUCCCGAAGAGAUUUGGGUAUGCAAGAGAACCGGAACACAGGUGCUGCAUGGCUGUGUCAGCUCGUGUCGUGAGAUGUUGGGUUAAGUCCCGCAACGAGCUGGCCUUGUCAUUGGUUGCUACGAAAGGGCCGCUCCGUGAGACUGCCGGUGACGUAAAACCGGAGGAAGGUGGGGAUGACGUCAAGUCCUCAUGGCCCUUAUGGGUAGGGCUUCACCACGUCGCCACAAUGGGUCGGGACAGAGGGUCGCCAACCCGCGAGGAAGGCCAAUCCCAGAAACCCGAUCGUAGUCCGGAUCGCAGUCUGCAACUCAGGCUGCGACAGUCAGAAUCGCUAGUAAUCGCGGAUCAGCAUGUCGCGGUGAAUGCGUUCCGGUCUUGUACACCGCCCGUCACACCAUGGGAGUGGGUUUUACCAGAAGUAGUUAACCCAGCUAGCGGGGAGGGCGAUUACCACGGUAGGAUUCGCCAUGACUGGGGUGAAGUCGUAACGGGUAG